AAAUUAUUGUACUUAAAAUAUUAUAGCAAAUUGGGUAAUUUUAAAAAUAAGUUUCUUUAUCUUAAUACAUAUGAUUGAAACUUUACAACUUAAAGAUUAUUUUUUCAAACCUGAGCUCAAUGAAUUACAACUCACUAGGUGCAAAAAUUAAAAAUUAGGCAGAGAAUUUGUAUAUUAAAAACAAGAAUAGGACUGGGGAUGUGGCUCAAGUGGUAGCACAUUUGCCUGGCAUGUGCACGGCACUGGGUUCGAUCCUCAGCACCACAUACGAAAUAAAAGAUUUUGUGUCUGCAGAAAACUAAUAAAUAAAUAAAUAAAUACUAAAAAUUUCUCUCUCUCUCUAUCUCUCUCUCUCCCUCUAAAAAAAAAGCUUAAAAAUAAUUUAAAAUAAUGGAUGGCUAUUAUAAAACCUGGAAGAUAAUGUUGAAAAGAUUCUUCAGAGAGAAAACAGAAGAUAAGUCCAGAAGAAUAAAUUUCCCUAACAUAUUCUAAAAUGAGAAUAUGUAAGAGGGGAAAUAAAACAUGAAAAAGGAGAAUUUCCUACUGCUGAGUGGAAAUGUAAAUCUUCAAAGAGUUUAGUCUUCCAGAAAGGAAAAAGUGGUCAUGAGUAGUGGUGCCAAACCCACAGUUGUCCCUAAGUUACCACCAGUCUCCCUGUCUAAAGACACGGGAGAAGUUCUUUCAAGUUUUUUGAGAUAAGGUUUCAAACUAAAAUUCCAAGCCAGUCAACCUUUCUUUAAACUAGGAGCUAAACAUAAAGACCAUGGUGUCUACACAGACUUCAUAUCCUGUGAUAUUACUGUGUAUGUGUUUUAAACAAUUUCAUCUGUUGCCUUAUGAAUUUUUAAAAAUGACUGUAUUCUGUAAUGGAGUCCUUUGUAAAUUACCUGAUAAAUAUUGAAUAAGAAAAAGUUAUCCACCAUAGCUAGAAUAUCAAUUAGGACAUGGUGAAAGGCAUUAAAAUUAGCUAAUCUAGUGAACUAGAGGUGAAAGGGUCUGAGAAAUGAAUGUAAAUGUGCUAGUUUACAUUUAACUUCUGGAUUCUUACCAAGUAUCCAUUAAAAUAUAAGAUUUGAAGAAAAAUAUUUCCCUAGACAGUGUGUACUAGUCUGCCCUUUGUCUUGGCUAAGGGAGGUCAGACCUCAUAGACCACCUCCAUUCCUCCUUGAGAUAGCCCUGCAUGCUGUGUGGUCCUGCACUGGCUUUGGCCUUAUUCUUCAGUUCCUACUGCCCUGUAGCACUUUUUGCUCUGACAUUAUUCAAAUAGUGCUUUUCAAAGCCUCAUUCUGGGUGGUUCUACACGUUCUAUAUUAUGAGCAACAAACAAACGGUGAUCACUAAUUAUUGAUGAACUUCUAAGGCAAAUUACUACUAAAAAUAGACAAAAAGAGAUUUUCUUUAACUGUUUUAAGACCUAAAUAUAAUUACUCAAAAACUUGUUCUUCAUUGUUUUUGUUUUUGGUGUCACAGUGGAAAGAUGUGAGAGAGACACAUGGACAGACACAGGGGAUGUAUAAAAUUUUCUGAGGUUAAACCUUGUUGUGCACACCCAUUUCUCAAGUCUUUCCUUGGAAUUCUGAUUUCUUUUCUCUAAUAUACUAAAUCAUUAAGAUUUGGUAAAUUAGAAUACUUAUUAGUUUUGACUUUACAUCAAAAUUGAUUCUAGAUAUUUUCUUGCCAAGAAUUUAUUUAUUUCAUGAUCCUCAGAUUUUUGAGGCUUACUUAAUAUUCUUAUCAUCUUUCUCUUAUGCUUGCAUUACUCAGAGACAAAAUUGCUGUAGUCUUUCAUAUGUAUUUCUUAAGGGUAGAAAUUUCAGUGUAUUUGUUGGGUAUCAAAAAUAUUUUAAUUUAAUCUCAUGGUAAAGUAACUCUAAAUACUCCUUUCAAUGUUUCUACAUUUUCAAAUUGAGGUUUCUUUAGAGCAUAUUUUACUGAGUAUUUGUGUUUCACAAUAACAGACUCAGAAAUUUCAGUCACUAAAAGCCAUUUAUUUACUGAGAUAUGUA
rnacentral:lncRNA from 1 species